rnacentral:rRNA from 1 species
UACGGGGGGGGCAAGCGUUGUUCGGAAUUACUGGGCGUAAAGGGCUCGUAGGCGGCCAACUAAGUCCGACGUGAAAUCCCCAGGCUUAACCUGGGAACUGCGUCGGAUACUGGAUGGCUUGAAUCCGGGAGAGGGAUGCGGAAUUCCAGGUGUAGCGGUGAAAUGCGUAGAUAUCUGGAGGAACACCGGUGGCGAAGGCGGCAUCCUGGACCGGCAUUGACGCUGAGGAGCGAAAGCCAGGGGAACAAACGGG